GCAAGUCGAGCGGUAACAUUUCAAAAGCUUUCUUUUGAAGAUGACGAGCGGCGGACGGGUGAGUAAUGCCUAGGAAAUUGCCCUGAUGUGGGGGAUAACCAUUGGAAACGAUGGCUAAUACCGCAUGAUGCCUACGGGCCAAAGAGGGGGGCCUUCGCGCCUCUCGCGUCAGGAUAUGCCUAGGUGAGAUUAGCUAGUUGGUGAGGUAAUGGCUCACCAAGGCGACGAUCCCUAGCUGGUCUGAGAGGAUGAUC
rnacentral:rRNA from 1 species